rnacentral:lncRNA from 1 species
AUACUGGUCCCAGUGCCAUUCCCACUCCAAAACCAGUGUCACCCACAUUCCAUCCCCAUACUUUGCCUACGCUGGUCCCAGUGCCACUCUCAUACUGGUCCCAGUGCCACCCAUGAACCAGCCCCACUCCAGCCCCAUACUGGUCCCAGUGCCAUCCUUAUUCUGGUCCCAGUGCCUUUCUCACACUGGUCCCAGUGCCAUCCAUGUACCAUGCCCACACCAGCCCCAUACUGGUCCCAGUGCCACUCUCACACUGGUCCCAGUGCCACCCUUAUUCUGGUCCCAGUGCCAUCCAUGUACCAGCCCCAUGCUGGUCCCAGUCCCGUCCCCAUACUGGUCCCAGUGCCACCCUUAUUCUGGUCCCAGUGCCAUCCCUGUACCAUCCCCACACCAGCCCCAUACUGGUCCCAGUGCCACUCUCAUACUGGUCCCAGUGCCAUCCCCAUACUGGUCCCAGUACCUCCCUUAUUCUGGUCCCAGUGCCACCCAUGCACCAGCCCCACACCAGCCCCAUACUGGUCCCAGUGCUGUCCCCAUACUGGUCCCAGUGCCACUCUCACACUGGUCCCAGUGCCACCCUUGUUCUGGUCCCAGUGCCAUCCAUGGACCAUCCCCAUA